rnacentral:lncRNA from 1 species
ACCAUACUUAUAAUGCUUCAUAUGAACCAUAUAAACCAAUCAACAAAUCAAUGCUUCAUAGGACAAAUUUCCAAUUACCUAAUUACCAAUUUAUAGGGAACAUUGGAAAAAUAACUACAAAAAAAUUAACAAAAUUAUAAACCGAAGCUGAAGUUGAACGAUGAACAAAACUAAAUUGAAGCUUGAGAGGUUAUGAAUUGAAGCUUUGCUGAGAAACUGAAUCGAAGCUUGAGAAGCUGAGAAGAAUUUGCUCAAUCGAAGCUUGAGAGAACUGAAAUUCAAUUGAAAGAUUCUGAACCUUGAGGGAUGAUGAACGAUUCUGAAUCGAAGUUGAACGAUUCUCAGAAUCAAACGAAACUUAGUGUUGAACGAUUCUCAGAGAAAAAAUGAGACGAUUGUUGUUGCUGUUUGUUCACA